GGGUUGUGAGGUUAAGCGACUAAGCGUACACGGUGGAUGCCCUGGCAGUCAGAGGCGAUGAAGGACGUGCUAAUCUGCGAUAAGCGUCGGUAAGGUGAUAUGAACCGUUAUAACCGGCGAUUUCCGAAUGGGGAAACCCAGUGUGUUUCGACACACUAUCAUUAACUGAAUCCAUAGGUUAAUGAGGCGAACCGGGGGAACUGAAACAUCUAAGUACCCCGAGGAAAAGAAAUCAACCGAGAUUCCCCCAGUAGCGGCGAGCGAACGGGGAGGAGCCCAGAGCCUGAAUCAGUGUGUGUGUUAGUGGAAGCGUCUGGAAAGGCGCGCGAUACAGGGUGACAGCCCCGUACACAAAAAUGCACAUACUGUGAGCUCGAUGAGUAGGGCGGGACACGUGGUAUCCUGUCUGAAUAUGGGGGGACCAUCCUCCAAGGCUAAAUACUCCUGACUGACCGAUAGUGAACCAGUACCGUGAGGGAAAGGCGAAAAGAACCCCGGCGAGGGGAGUGAAAAAGAACCUGAAACCGUGUACGUACAAGCAGUGGGAGCCUCUUUUAUGGGGUGACUGCGUACCUUUUGUAUAAUGGGUCAGCGACUUAUAUUCUGUAGCAAGGUUAACCGAAUAGGGGAGCCGAAGGGAAACCGAGUCUUAACUGGGCGUUAAGUUGCAGGGUAUAGACCCGAAACCCGGUGAUCUAGCCAUGGGCAGGUUGAAGGUUGGGUAACACUAACUGGAGGACCGAACCGACUAAUGUUGAAAAAUUAGCGGAUGACUUGUGGCUGGGGGUGAAAGGCCAAUCAAACCGGGAGAUAGCUGGUUCUCCCCGAAAGCUAUUUAGGUAGCGCCUCGUGAAUUCAUCUCCGGGGGUAGAGCACUGUUUCGGCAAGGGGGUCAUCCCGACUUACCAACCCGAUGCAAACUGCGAAUACCGGAGAAUGUUAUCACGGGAGACACACGGCGGGUGCUAACGUCCGUCGUGAAGAGGGAAACAACCCAGACCGCCAGCUAAGGUCCCAAAGUCAUGGUUAAGUGGGAAACGAUGUGGGAAGGCCCAGACAGCCAGGAUGUUGGCUUAGAAGCAGCCAUCAUUUAAAGAAAGCGUAAUAGCUCACUGGUCGAGUCGGCCUGCGCGGAAGAUGUAACGGGGCUAAACCAUGCACCGAAGCUGCGGCAGCGACACUAUGUGUUGUUGGGUAGGGGAGCGUUCUGUAAGCCUGUGAAGGUGUGCUGUGAGGCAUGCUGGAGGUAUCAGAAGUGCGAAUGCUGACAUAAGUAACGAUAAAGCGGGUGAAAAGCCCGCUCGCCGGAAGACCAAGGGUUCCUGUCCAACGUUAAUCGGGGCAGGGUGAGUCGACCCCUAAGGCGAGGCCGAAAGGCGUAGUCGAUGGGAAACAGGUUAAUAUUCCUGUACUUGGUGUUACUGCGAAGGGGGGACGGAGAAGGCUAUGUUGGCCGGGCGACGGUUGUCCCGGUUUAAGCGUGUAGGCUGGUUUUCCAGGCAAAUCCGGAAAAUCAAGGCUGAGGCGUGAUGACGAGGCACUACGGUGCUGAAGCAACAAAUGCCCUGCUUCCAGGAAAAGCCUCUAAGCAUCAGGUAACAUCAAAUCGUACCCCAAACCGACACAGGUGGUCAGGUAGAGAAUACCAAGGCGCUUGAGAGAACUCGGGUGAAGGAACUAGGCAAAAUGGUGCCGUAACUUCGGGAGAAGGCACGCUGAUAUGUAGGUGAAGUCCCUCGCGGAUGGAGCUGAAAUCAGUCGAAGAUACCAGCUGGCUGCAACUGUUUAUUAAAAACACAGCACUGUGCAAACACGAAAGUGGACGUAUACGGUGUGACGCCUGCCCGGUGCCGGAAGGUUAAUUGAUGGGGUCAGCGCAAGCGAAGCUCUUGAUCGAAGCCCCGGUAAACGGCGGCCGUAACUAUAACGGUCCUAAGGUAGCGAAAUUCCUUGUCGGGUAAGUUCCGACCUGCACGAAUGGCGUAAUGAUGGCCAGGCUGUCUCCACCCGAGACUCAGUGAAAUUGAACUCGCUGUGAAGAUGCAGUGUACCCGCGGCAAGACGGAAAGACCCCGUGAACCUUUACUAUAGCUUGACACUGAACAUUGAGCCUUGAUGUGUAGGAUAGGUGGGAGGCUUAGAAGUGUGGACGCCAGUCUGCAUGGAGCCGACCUUGAAAUACCACCCUUUAAUGUUUGAUGUUCUAACGUGGACCCGUGAUCCGGGUUGCGGACAGUGUCUGGUGGGUAGUUUGACUGGGGCGGUCUCCUCCUAAAGAGUAACGGAGGAGCACGAAGGUUGGCUAAUCCUGGUCGGACAUCAGGAGGUUAGUGCAAUGGCAUAAGCCAGCUUGACUGCGAGCGUGACGGCGCGAGCAGGUGCGAAAGCAGGUCAUAGUGAUCCGGUGGUUCUGAAUGGAAGGGCCAUCGCUCAACGGAUAAAAGGUACUCCGGGGAUAACAGGCUGAUACCGCCCAAGAGUUCAUAUCGACGGCGGUGUUUGGCACCUCGAUGUCGGCUCAUCACAUCCUGGGGCUGAAGUAGGUCCCAAGGGUAUGGCUGUUCGCCAUUUAAAGUGGUACGCGAGCUGGGUUUAGAACGUCGUGAGACAGUUCGGUCCCUAUCUGCCGUGGGCGCUGGAGAACUGAGGGGGGCUGCUCCUAGUACGAGAGGACCGGAGUGGACGCAUCACUGGUGUUCGGGUUGUCAUGCCAAUGGCACUGCCCGGUAGCUAAAUGCGGAAGAGAUAAGUGCUGAAAGCAUCUAAGCACGAAACUUGCCCCGAGAUGAGUUCUCCCUGACUCCUUGAGAGUCCUGAAGGAACGUUGAAGACGACGACGUUGAUAGGCCGGGUGUGUAAGCGCAGCGAUGCGUUGAGCUAACCGGUACUAAUGAACCGUGAGGCUUAACCUUACAACGCCGAAGCUGUU
rnacentral:rRNA from 1 species